GAUGAACGCUGGCGGCGUGCCUAAUACAUGCAAGUCGAGCGAACGAACGAGAAGCUUGCUUCUCUGAUGUUAGCGGCGGACGGGUGGGUGACACGUGGAUAACCUCCCUAUCAGACUGGGAUAACAUCGCGAAACCGGAGCUAAUACCGGAUAAUAUUUUGAACCGCAUGGUUCAAAAGUGAAAGACGGUCUUGCUUUCACUUAUAGAUGGAUCCGCGCUGCAUUAGCUAGUUGGUAAGGUAACGGCUUACCAAGGCAACGAUGCAUAGCCGACCUGAGAGGGUGAUCGGCCACACUGGAACUGAGACACGGUCCAGACUCCUACGGGAGGAAGCAGUAGGGAAUCUUACGCAAUGGGCGAAAGCCUGACGGAGCAACGCCGCGUGAGUGAUGAAGGUCUUCGGAUCGUAAAACUCUGUUAUUAGGGAAGAACAUAUGUGGAAGUAACUGUGGACAGCUUGACGGUACCUAAUCAGAAAGCCACGGCUAACUACGUG
rnacentral:rRNA from 1 species